ACGCCACCCCCACAGGGACGACGGAGUCGGCCUCCUCGCCCACCGCCACCGACUUCACUGCCACCGCCGUCUCCAGAAACGGGACAGAGACAACCUUCUCCUCUGGCACUGUUCACACCUCCCCGGGAACCGCUCCCGAACUUACCACCCACAGCACCGCUCUGUCAACAUCAAGCCAACACACAUCAGAACCCACAACGGCAACCACCAGCACUGUGUCGGUGCUUGUCCUCCUGACUUUCCGCAUAACGAACAGAAAUUACAGUUCUGAUUUGUCGCAUCGGAACAGCACAGAAUUCAAAGAUCUAAAUAAUUUAAUUGGGGAUGUGUAUAACUCAAUAUAUAACUGUUCCACCUGCCGGCUGCGCACCGUCUAUCUUGGCUAUACCGUGAUUGCAUUCAGGUAUGGAAUGAGAGUCAGGCGACAGAAAAAUCCCUGGGAAAAAAUGAUCUGGAGUAGCCGACGAAGCUGGACCAGGCCAGAAUUUCCGGGAGCCGCAGAAAUAAGGGCGGGUUGAUCAGCUUCUAUGUUGCUUUAACAGAGCAAAGACCGUUAUCUAUUCUUAAUUUUAAUAUUGAUCAGUGGACGCUGGGUGUGUGUUUCAAAUGAGGCGUUCAGGAUCCAAUCAGCUUGGCACAGCAUCGGCCUCAAACUAUGAAAAUGUGUGUUGAUCAUUCUGAUUGUCUGUUGUGCACCUGUGGACAUAUCUGGAUCCUGUACUCAGUUACAUGUUUGACAGCAGAAGAGAUGCCCAGGAAACCAUCUGAAUUUCUUCUUACAAGUGCAUUUCAAAAUAAGAUUCUGGCCAUGGCCUUUUAAUGGAUGGUUUUGAAUGCUUUAAUUAGAGCUUUAUUAUAAUUUUGUCCCCAACUGAGUCAUAGCCCUCUGUGAGUGCAUUAUUUUUAGGGGGACAGCAGUGAGGACUAGAGACUUGACAUUUACCGUAUUUUUCCGUGUAGAAGACUAGACUUUUUUCUAAAUUUUUAGACUAAAAAUUGAGUGUCGUCUUAUAUACAGAAGUAAGCUGAGGAGAUAACAAAAACAAGUGGAGGGGAAAGCAGGGAUCAAAGCAAUCCUGCAGCACUUUGAUCCCUGCUUUCUCCUCUGCUUGCUAAGUCCCAUGAGGCUUAACAAAAGGAGGGGGGAAAGAAUCAAAGCAAUCCCUUGGCUGUAUAAGAGGGAAGGGAUCAAAACGAUAAUGCAGUUGCAGGACUGCUUUGAUCCCUUUCCCCCUCCUUUUGCUAAGCCCCGCGGGGCUUAGCACGAAGGGAGAAAUCAGGGAUUAUAGCAAUCCUACUGCACUUUGAUCCCUUUCCCACUACACUUGCUAAGCCCCACUUAGAUUUCUUAAUUUUUGGUUAGAAAAAUGGUGCACGUCUUAUACAUGGGGGCAUCUUAUACACGGAAAGAUAUGGUAAACAGACAUUUACAUUCUGGUUGUUUCUGCCCGCCAAACUUAAAUAGAACAUAUAUUUCCGUCGGAACUUGAGAAAGAUGGCCACUGAAACUUAGAAUUUCUUGACCUGAAGCAACUUCUGUACCACAAAGUUGUGAGUCUGAAAUCCUUCUGGCUAUUUCAUGUUCUUAUUCCAAGAACAGGAAACAGCCGGUAGGCUUUGAGUCCUGCAAAAUAUCUCUUGGUCAUCCUAGGAACCGAAUUCGGGGCUUUCUGCAUGGAAUGCCACAGUUUGGUGACUAAGCUAUGAGCCUCCCUGGGCUGUUCGUGGGUCUUCCAAUUCAUUUAAUGCUCUUUACUGUUCUCUUUUUCUGUCGAAUGUAAAGGCCAGGAUCCGUGGUGGUGGACUCAGAAAUAAAUUUCCGGAAUAACAAUGAGACUUCCA
ensembl:lncRNA